AUAAAAUAAUUAUGUUUUUAGAAAUUUAUUAUAAAUUUAUUUUACAUAUAAAUUUUAGUAUAUAAUUUUAAUUAUUUAAAUAAUAAUUAAUUUAUUUUUGUAGUAAUUAAUAUUAAAAAUUUAAGAAAUUAAGAUUUAGUAAUAUAAAAAUUAAUAACUAAUUUUGUGCCAGCAGUUGCGGUUAAACAAAAGUUAAAUUAAAUUAUUUCAGUAUAUAAUAAAUAAUUAAUUUAUUAAAAUAAAUAUUAAAUUAUUAAGUGAAAUUUUAAUUUAAUUAAAUUUUAUUUUAAAAUUAUGAUUUAAUAAAUUUUAAUAUAAACUAGGAUUAGAUACCCUAUUAUUAAAAAUUUAAUUUAUAAUACUAAAAUAGUAAAUAAUAAUUUAUUGAAACUUAAAUAAUAUGGCGGUAUUUUAGUUCAUUUAGAGGAAUCUGUCUAAUAAUUGAUAAUCCACGAAUAAAUUUACUUAAUUUAUAAUUUUGUAUAUCAUUGUUAAAAAAAUAUUUUUUAGGAAAAAUAAUAUUUAAAAAUUAUAAUAAAAAAUUAAAUCAGAUCAAGAUGCAGAAUAUAAUUAAGAAUAUGAUGGAUUACAUUAAAUAUAUUUAUAUGAAUAAUUUUAUUGUAAUAAAAAUUUGAAGGUGGAUUUAAAUGUAAUUUUAAUUAGUUUAUUAAAAUGAUUAAAAAUUAAAAUAUGUACAUAUUGCCCGUCACUUUCAUUUAAAAAUUGAAAUAAGUCGUAACAAAGUAGAGGUACUGGAAAGUGUUUCUAGAAAGA
rnacentral:ncRNA from 1 species